CCAGAUGCCGACCGUGCGACUUCAAUCUCUGCGACUGCUUUGUUCGGUGUGACCGACGGACGCGAUUCAUAGUUUUGAAGAACACCUUCUUCAAAUGUUUCCGCACGUCAGUGAGUAGCAGCGCCGCAAUCCUUUGUCGACGACGCGUUCUGUGGCCCUGGAAAAUGCCUUGACGCUCGGGGACGGCCGGUAGCUCGGCGAUUCCUCGCUUCAUCCAGCAGUGUACGCUGCCAGCGUAUUUUUUAUUGCCAGAGGUAGCAAACAGCAGUGCCACAACAAACAGUGGAGUGCUGACCAUGCAGUCCAGAAGGUGGCUGAGGCAAGUAUGCUAUAGGAGGUGCUUAUUCAGGCAGAAGAAAUAAGCAUCUGUAGCCAACGUAAAGGAAGCAUCUUCAAAAAGCAGUGCUACAAGGAUGUGAGCAGCAGUUUCCCUUCAACGAACGGGUCAAAUUCAUGGAAGCCACGUGCCUGCUGCUUCUGGCCUACACAAACAUGCAGCCACCAUAGUAAAGUUCUUGCAAAGACAUUCUACACGAACUUGCCCAAAGGCAGAAGGAAGGCACGCACAGAUGGACGCACAGAAAUCAUGGGGCUGCCGUAGAAGCUGUGAAUGAGUAUUAACCUACGUACAGAAAGGAGCGAAGUGGAGCUGUCCAUGGGCCGUGCACACAGUUUCAUAAGCAGGCUUGCAACACUUUUGACAAAUAUGUUCCUGAAUACAUCUGCCGAAGUGGCAUUUAAAGAA